UGGGGUGUAGCUCAGUGGUAUAAGAGCAUUUGAGUAACAUUCAUGAGGCCCUGGUUUCCACCCCAGCACUGCAA
rnacentral:tRNA from 1 species